GUGGCUCAUGCCUGUAAUCCCAGNNNNNNNNNNAUAUAUAUAUAUAUAUACAUAUAAUUAUUGCAGAAUACUCCAAAUUAGAUUUUCAGUCACUAUCAUGCAGAAUUGAGUAGGUUAUCAAAAAAAUCAGUACUAAAUAAUUACAUAACCUUAGAAAAUUAAAAAGUACCAUGGAAAUUUAAAGUACAACAUGAAAACUGUGCAGAAAAAUCAACAUUCACCAGAGAAUUAUCUAUAGCACACUGUAUCAAACUCAAGUAAAGUCCUAUACCAAAAAUCGAAGAGAAACAUGGUCCCCGUAAACCUGACGUUUACAUUCUGCCAAAGUAGACAGAUCAAUGAUUUUUAAUUUUAACAUUAAUAACUAUGCUGCUUCCAGAUCUAGGUACUCAAGCUUUAUUCUGCACACCACAUAUCCGAGGUACUUGUUUAAAUGCAAUUCUUGGACCUGCUCCCUAAAAUUUAAUUAAAUGUUUGGAGAAGG
rnacentral:lncRNA from 1 species